UAAAGUUUGUAUACAUUCUGGACAUGCGUAGCAAAAAGCGUAUAUAGAGAAAACGUAGAUCCUCUUUCGAGGGCCUACAAAGGGUGCACAGGUGGAUAAGGAAACUAGAAAGGGGAGGUUCCACGAAAGAGAAAGGGGCGUGCACGUUGCCGGCGACAGCCUUGACUCCUCCAUCCGUCUUCCCUCCCCUCCCUGGUAGGAUUCGAUAAUGAUCCUUCCGCAGGUUCACCUACGGAAA
rnacentral:misc_RNA from 1 species